AGAGUUUGAUCCUGGCUCAGGACGAACGCUGGCGGCGUGCCUAACACAUGCAAGUCGAACGGACGAGGAGGAGCUUGCUUCUCCAAGUCAGUGGCGGACGGGUGAGUAACGCGUGAGUAACCUGCCCUUCAGAGGGGGAUAACGUCUGGAAACGGACGCUAAUACCGCAUGACAUAUUUCCAUCGCAUGGUGGAGAUAUCAAAGGAGCAAUCCGCUGAAGGAUGGACUCGCGUCCGAUUAGAUAGUUGGCGGGGUAACGGCCCACCAAGUCGACGAUCGGUAGCCGGACUGAGAGGUUGAACGGCCACAUUGGGACUGAGACACGGCCCAGACUCCUACGGGAGGCAGCAGUGGGGGAUAUUGCACAAUGGGCGAAAGCCUGAUGCAGCAACGCCGCGUGAGGGAAGACGGUUUUCGGAUUGUAAACCUCUGUUCUAAGUGACGAACAAAUGACGGUAGCUUAGGAGAAAGCCCCGGCUAACUACGUGCCAGCAGCCGCGGUAAUACGUAGGGGGCAAGCGUUGUCCGGAAUUACUGGGUGUAAAGGGAGCGCAGGCGGAGAAGCAAGUCAGUGGUGAAAACGAUGGGCUUAACUCAUCGACUGCCAUUGAAACUGUUUCCCUUGAGUGAAGUAGAGGCAGGCGGAAUUCCGAGUGUAGCGGUGAAAUGCGUAGAUAUUCGGAGGAACACCAGUGGCGAAGGCGGCCUGCUGGGCUUUAACUGACGCUGAGGCUCGAAAGUGUGGGGAGCAAACAGGAUUAGAUACCCUGGUAGUCCACACUGUAAACG
rnacentral:rRNA from 1 species